UUUCGACGCAUCGAAGCAAAACAUCGAUAUUUUCGAUGCAUCGAUGUUUUUCCGACAUCCCUACCGAUUUCGCACAGGCAAGGGAUACGAACGGAGUCCGUCGGAAUUUGCACGGCAAUAAAUUCCUAUUUUUUUAUAAGUUACUCGUAUUUUUGCAUUGUUUUAGUUAUUGGAUAAUAAAGUAGAUAUGGCGUUGAAUCCACAGUACGAGGAUAUCGGUAAAGGAUUUGUGCAACAAUAUUAUGCGACUUUUGACGAUCCCAAUCUCAGACCGAAUGUGGCCAAUUUCUAUAGUGCAACAGAUUCGUUUAUGUCCUUUGAAGGCGUACAAUUACAAGGUGCCCCUAAAAUAAUGGAAAAGUUAUCCAGCCUAUCGUUCCAGAAAAUCUCACGAGUUAUAACAGCAGUUGAUUCCCAACCAAUGUUUGAUGGUGGCGUUUUAAUCAACGUGCUGGGAAGGCUUAAGACCGAUGAUGACCAGCCGCAUGCGUACAUUCAGACAUUUGUUCUUAAGCCUGUGGGUGGUAGUUUCUUCGUACAACAUGACAUUUUCAGACUAUCACUACACGACGUAUAGUCACGCGGAAUAUAUGUACAUAUGCUUCGCGUUUACUGCCUUAGACUCGCACUCGACGGUGAACGCUGCAGCUACUGCUACGUUAAAUAGAAGAAUAUUUUUGAAUAACUAUGCUACUUUGCUAACGUAUGUUAUCUUAAUUAACGAAAAAAAUAUAUAUGCAAAUCAAAUGGCAACAAUUUAGGAUAAUAAAUUUGACUGACUAGUGACUGUGUCGCGCGUAAAGUCGCCAGCUUUGCCACCAAACACCGCCUGCCGAUACGCUAGGAUGUGCGAUCAUUAGAUGAAGCCUAUUCAGCGUUUUCGGUAUUAAUUCCACUACAUAAACGAAAUCGUAUACGAUGCGAGCCGAUGACCACAAACAUGAGUUUUUCUGUGAUGAGGAUCCACCACAUGCUUUCUCGCAAGUCUUCGUUUUGAGGCCACUCGGCGGUACAUUUUUCUGUGCACAUGACAUCUUUCGUUUGAAUAUACACGACACAGCCUAGUUGUGUUAACAUUUUGAUUACAUUUAUAAUAAUAAUGAUAUAAAUAUUAAAAAAUGGAGUGAUUGUAAUAACGUUA